rnacentral:rRNA from 1 species
CAACGGCCGCGGUACUCUGACCGUGCAAAGGUAGCAUAAUCAUUUGCCCUAUAAUUAAGGGCUAGUAUGAACGGUCUAACAAGAAUGGAACUGUCUCUUUUAAAAUCCUUAGAAUUUGGUCUUUAGGCGAAGAAACCUAAAUUAUAUUGAUAGACAAGAAGACCCUAUCGAGCUUUAAAACAAUUAGUUAAACAAAUAGAUAACACUAACUUUAACUAAAAAUUUUGGUUGGGGCGACUAAGGAACAAACAAAGCUUCCUUAAUAAAUUCUACACUAAUAAGUAAUGAUCCAAAAUAUUUGAUUAAUAAAAUUAGUUACCGUAGGGAUAACAGCAUAAUCUUCUUCAAGAGUUCUUAUCGAAAAGAAUGUUUGUGACCUCGAUGUUGGACUAGGAUAUCCAAAAGAUGCAGAAGUCUUUAAAGGUUGGUCUGUUCGACCAAUAAAAUCCUACGUGAU